CUUUUUAGCCAGGAGAGGUUCCUGGGGAGAGAAAGGGAAAGGGAUUGUAGUGGAAAUAGAUUUGCGCACCGCCCCGGGAGUGCCGCCCACGGACUAGGGGAACCCCCCUUGGGACCUGGACUUUCACUGGCCUUGGCGUUUGGCGGCCAGUUUGCGUGAGGGGCCCUUUAAGGACCGCCUGGGGGGAAGCCAGGGAGGAGCCUCGUCAGGCAAAAGAGAGAGGAGGAGGGGGUCAAGCCUGGAACCCGAGAAGGAAUGAAUAUCCAAAGAACGGGUUGUUGGCAGCAUUGCACCGGAAAGAGGAGGCA